rnacentral:miRNA from 1 species
GUGAGUGAAAAAGGUGAUAAUU